UAAACUGGGAUUAGAUACCCCACUAUGCUUAGCCCUAAACUUUAAUAAUUACUCUAACGAAAUUAUUUGCCCGAGAACUACUGGCCACCGCUUAAAACUCAAAGGACUUGGCGGUACUUUACAUCCAUCUAGAGGAGCCUGUUCUAUAAUCGAUAAACCCCGUUAUACCUUACCACCCCUUGCUAAUUCAGCCUAUAUACCGCCAUCUUCAGCAAACCUUUAAAAAGAAUAAGAGUAAGCGAGAGAAUUCCCAUAAAAACGUUAGGUCAAGGUGUAGCCUAUGAGGUGGAAAGUAAUGGGCUACAUUUUCUUCUAAAGAACAUUUACGAGACUACCUAUGAAAUCUAGGGAGUAAAGGAGGAUUUAGUAGUAAAUUAAGAAUAGAGAGCUUAAUUGAAUAGCGCAAUGAAGUACGCACACACCGCCCGUCACCCUCCUCAAAUUAAGCGAAUAGUACCUAUACAUAAUACCACUAAAAACUUAUGAGAGGAGACAAGUCGUAACAAGGUAAGCAUACUGGAAAGUGA
rnacentral:rRNA from 1 species